AGAGUUUGAUCCUGGCUCAGGAUAAACGCUGGCGGCGUGCCUAACACAUGCAAGUCGAACGUCCUACGCAAGUAGGGAGUGGCGGACGGGUGAGUACCACGUGGGCAAUCUACCUUUGGGUGAGGAAUACCGGCGAGAAAUCGCCGACAAUACCGCAUACACUCGGGCAACCGAGUAAAGUCGCAAGACGCCCGAGGAGGAACCUGCGCCCGAUUAGCUAGUUGGUGGGGUAAGAGCUUACCAAGGCGACGAUCGGUAGCUGGUCUGAGAGAAUGAUCAGCCACACUGGGAUUGAGAACGGCCCAGACUCCUACGGGGGGCAGCAGUGAGGAAUUUUCGUCAAUGGGGGCAACCCUGAACGAGCAACGCCGCGUGCAGGAUGACGCUUUUCGGAGUGUAAACUGCUUUUCUUGGGGAAGGGAAGGGACGGUACCCGAGGAAUCAGUCCCGGCUAACUACGUGCCAGCAGUCGCGGUAAUACGUAGGGGGCGAGCGUUGUCCGGAGUUACUGGGCGUAAAGCGCACGCAGGCGGUCGUGUAAGUUUGGAGUGACAAUCCUCGGCUUAACUGAGGAGGGCCUUUGAAGACUGCACGACUUGAGGGCCGACGAGGGACACGGAACUCCGGGUGGAGUGGUGAAAUGCGUAGAGAUCCGGAGGAACACCAAAGGCGAAGGCAGUGUCCUGGGAGGUACCUGACGCUCAGGUGCGAAAGCCAGGGGAGCGAACGGGAUUAGAUACCCCGGUAGUCC
rnacentral:rRNA from 1 species